GGUGCUAUGACUUAGUUGGUUAAAGUGGCUGUCUAGUAAACGGGAGACCAUGAGUUUGAAUCCCAUUAGCGCCU
rnacentral:tRNA from 1 species